UACGUAGGGUGCAAGCGCUGUCCGGAAUUAUUGGGCGUAAAGAGCUCGUAGGCGGUCUGUCGCGUCGGCUGUGAAAUCCCGAGGCUCAACCUCGGGUCUGCAGUCGAUACGGGCAUCACUGGAGUUCGGCAGGGGAGACUGGAAUUCCUGGUGUAGCGGUGAAAUGCGCAGAUAUCAGGAGGAACACCGGUGGCGAAGGCGGGUCUCUGGGCCGAUACUGACGCUGAGGAGCGAAAGCGUGGGGAGCAAACAGG
rnacentral:rRNA from 1 species